AUUGAACGCUGGCGGCAUGCUUUACACAUGCAAGUCGAACGGUAACAGGCCUUCGGGUGCUGACGAGUGGCGAACGGGUGAGUAAUGCAUCGGAACGUGCCCAAUCGGUGGGGGAUAACGUAGCGAAAGUUACGCUAAUACCGCAUAAGCCCUGAGGGGGAAAGUGGGGGACCGCAAGGCCUCACGCGAAUGGAGCGGCCGAUGUCAGAUUAGCUAGUUGGUGGGGUAAAGGCCCACCAAGGCGACGAUCUGUAGCGGGUCUGAGAGGAUGAUCCGCCACACUGGGACUGAGACACGGCCCAGACUCCUACGGGAGGCAGCAGUGGGGAAUUUUGGACAAUGGGCGCAAGCCUGAUCCAGCCAUGCCGCGUGCGGGACGAAGGCCUUCGGGUUGUAAACCGCUUUCAGCCGGAAAGAAAUCGCCGUUUUUAAUACAGACGGUGGAUGACGGUACCGGAAGAAGAAGCACCGGCUAACUACGUGCCAGCAGCCGCGGUAAAGUG
rnacentral:rRNA from 1 species